ACCACAGAAAACCCUUGAAUAUUUAUAUAUGUCAACGCUAAUAAGCUGUUAUUUUAUUAGAAUCCUGACUGUGAACUUGAGGGACACAGCUUCUGUCGAGUUGUUAGUGUUGAAAUCCCGAUUGGUUUUUGUUUACCAGAUAAAAUCUGUGAGGAAUCUGUGAUGGUGAGCCUAACCUGUGAGAUUGUGGAUGAACGUGGAAAUGGUGUGUCCAUAGAAGACAUCUGACCAGUUUGAUUAAUUCACAUGGACCCCAGGGUGCACUUAAAGCCAGUAGUGGAGUUUUUCCUGUCAGCUUCACAAGUGUUUCAAGCACAAGCCAUCUUCAGUUUUUUUUUUCUUCCAGCUGGCACUUUUGUUUAUGCAUCUUUCAACAUUCAAUCAACUUAGCCCUCACAAACCCCUGGCUGACCGUGUUGUUUUUCUUCUCUCACAUCGCAGAAGCAGAAUUACUUUGUUCACCUUGUGUGAAAACACAUGUGAAAAACAUCUGUAGACAUAUGACAAUCACCAGUUGUCAGCUGUUCCGCUCUUGAGACUGCUUCUAAACAUGCUGCACUGAAUUAUAUAUCUGUCUUUUUAAAGUCAUUUACAGACUACUAGAGACCUGUGUUCACUCUAAUUAUGGAUCCCUUAAUUUCAACUGUAAAUUAAAGUCUUUAUCUUUUGAUUAACAUCAACAAGUUCCUUGUUGGUUUGCCUGCGUCCUAGAAAGCUACAUUUGUCAUUGCUCAUCCGUACUGACAGAAAAG